CACAUGCAGUCGAACGAAGGCUUCGGCCUUAGUGGCGCACGGGUGCGUAACGCGUGGGAAUCUGCCCUUGGGUACGGAAUAACUCAGAGAAAUUUGAGCUAAUACCGUAUGAUGACGUAAGUCCAAAGAUUUAUCGCCCAGGGAUGAGCCCGCGUAGGAUUAGCUAGUUGGUGGGGUAAAGGCCUACCAAGGCGACGAUCCUUAGCUGGUCUGAGAGGAUGAUCAGCCACACUGGGACUGAGACACGGCCCAGACUCCUACGGGAGGCAGCAGUGGGGAAUAUUGGACAAUGGGCGAAAGCCUGAUCCAGCAAUGCCGCGUGAGUGAUGAAGGCCCUAGGGUUGUAAAGCUCUUUUACCCGGGAAGAUAAUGACUGUACCGGGAGAAUAAGCCCCGGCUAACUCCGUGCCAGCAGCCGCGGUAAUACGGAGGGGGCUAGCGUUGUUCGGAAUUACUGGGCGUAAAGCGCACGUAGGCGGCUUUGUAAGUUAGAGGUGAAAGCCUGGGGCUCAACC
rnacentral:rRNA from 1 species